rnacentral:tRNA from 1 species
GGGAGAGUUCCCGAGUGGCCAAAGGGGGCAGACUGUAAAUCUGUUGCUUGAUAGCUUCGAUGGUUCGAAUCCAUCCUCUCCCACCA